UGAAGUUUUCGGAUGGAUUUAAAACAGCUUAGUGGCGGACGGGCGAGUAACGCGUGAGCAACCUGCCCUUCAGUGGGGAACAACGGCUGGAAACGGCCGCUAAUACCGCAUAAUGUGUGGAAACCGCAUGGAGACCACACCAAAGGAGCAAUUCGCUGAAGGAUGGGCUCGCGUCCGAUUAGCUAGUUGGUGAGGUAACGGCUCACCAAGGCGACGAUCGGUAGCCGAACUGAGAGGUUGAUCGGCCGCAUUGGGACUGAGACACGGCCCAGACUCC
rnacentral:rRNA from 2 species